rnacentral:tRNA from 1 species
GCCAGGGUAGCUCAGUUGGUUAGAGCAUAGCCUUCAUAAGGCUGGGGUCGCGAGUUCGAAUCUCGCCCCUGGUA